UCUCUUUUCCUCAUAAGCCUCACAUUUUAUGUCUCCUACCCCUCUGAAUCUACUGGCUUAUGCAACUGAUGUUCCUGCCACCUCUGCUGGAUGAUGGCAGCUACAGCCCAUUGCUCCUUUUAAGCAAGCAUGCCAGAAAGCUGGGAGAACCACAACUGCCCUUUUCAGAGCAACAGAAUCUUCUGGGUAGCUACCGCUCGGACUUCUUUCUAAAAGAGGAAAUUUGGACACAAAAACUGACACCAGGGGGUGUGCACACACAGAGAAAAGACCGUGUGAAGAGGCAGCAAGAAUGCAGCCAUCUGCAAACCAAGGAGAGAGGCCUCAGAGGAAAUCAAUACUGUUGGCACUUGAUCUUAGACGUCCAGCCUCCAGAACUUUGAGAAAAUAAAUAUCUGUUGUUUAAGCCACCCAGUCUGUGGUAUUUUAUUAGGGCAGCCCCAGCGAACUAACACAAUUUAUUACUCCUUCUUCAUUUCUGCUGAUUUUAUAUGCUUAUUUCAGGCCUGAGUCUUUAGCCUGGAAAUUUUAGGAGCACGUUAACUACUAUCCCUAUCUCACGCUCUCCCAACCCAAGGAUUUGAAUCAUAAUUUUCGAGCUUUAAAGCUCAGCACAUAAAAAGCCAAAAACUCAGCACAUAAAUCAUAUAUCAGAAUUAAUAGUAUGAAACAUCAAAUGGUGGAAAAUUGAGAGCACAGAAUAAAAAUACAAGUGGAUGGAAAGCAUAAAAGACAAGAUCAGGGCUUCCCUGGUGGCGCAGUGGUUGAGAGUCCGCCUGCCGAUGCAGGGGACACGGGUUCGUGCCCCGGUCCGGGAAGAUCCCACAUGCCCUGGAGCUGCUGGGCCCGUGAGCCGUGGCCGCUGAGCCUGCGUGUCCAGAGCCUGUGCUCCGCAACAGGAGUGGCCACAACAGUGAGAGGCCCGCGUACCGCAAAAAAAAAAAAGACCAGAGAACUGAAAGACACAUACAGAAGACCCAACAGUGAGUAACAGGAGUUCCAAAGGGAGGAAGAGUAAAAGAUGUAGUAGCAUUUCAUAUAAAAAAAUAUAGAAAAAAUGUUCCUGAAUUAGAGAAAGACAUUCAUCUGCAGAAUAAAAGAUCUCACUCAGACAGGAUUGAUGAAUGAAAACGUUGUGGAAAAUAAGACCGUAGACUCCAAAUUUUAAAUAAGACUUUGUUAUUUACUAAGAAUGACAUUGCAGAAAAGGAGGGGAGUUCCCUAGCAAAGCAACCAUAACUAAUGUCUUAAUACAUCAAAAUUAUCAUGGUUUGUAUUACACAGCAGUACAAUGAAAGCCCAAUUCCAAGAAUUGCACUAUAGGCAAAAGAGAAGACAGGACCUCAGUGACAAUGAGAAAGGAAAUAUCAGCAGUCACAAAUGAGCAAACAAAAAUGACUACCUGAAAGAUAUGCCAAUAUCAUGCAAUUAGAAAAGGUCAUAGAAUCUAUUCAUUAAUAUCUUAAGGACCUGUCAUUUUGUUGAGGUUUCAACUUUCUUUAUUCACAUGCUGACUUUUAAUACUAUCUUGUUAUGGAUAUAUUAGAAAUAAUCUUAAAUUUCUAAGUUCCAAGGAUAAAGAAAAAAGUCUGUCUUCCUUGGUAAAAGAAUAAAUCAUGA
rnacentral:lncRNA from 1 species